rnacentral:lncRNA from 1 species
AUUUAGAGUGUAUGACCUCUUUAAGUCCUUUCCACUUCAGGUUUAUCAGAUUAUGUUAAAGGCCUGUUGUCACACAGUAAGUCUCAGGGGCAGGAUUUGAACUCAUAUUAUCCUGAUUAUCCAUAUCCUGAUAUAUGCCAUGAAACAUAGCAGAAAGAAUUAAGAAACUUACAAAUUCAUUUCUGCUACAGAUCCCAUUUCCUUUACAGGCUAUUUGGAAUAAAGGAUGGAAGAUGGACUUGUAGUCAAAAUAACCUGAAUUUAACAUCUGACUAUUUAAUAGCUAUAGGACCUGGAAUGAGACACUUGACUUCAUUGGGACUCAGUUUAUUCAUCUGUAAAAUACAGAUAAUAAUGCCUUCAGUACUUACCUCUCAGGUAUAUUGUGUGAAGAUUAAAUUGUAACCCCUAUCUAUUUUUAGAACAUGAUACUUAAAAGUUAAGUAUAGAGAUCUACCCAUUUUUAGAUUUUAAUCACCAAAGGUGCAAACACCCCAUUUCACACAUUGAAUGGGGAAGGUCUGUGAUCCACAUUUGUGAUAGUGAAUGAUGAUUCAGAAUCGACUGACUGCCUACUGGGCAGUCCUAAAACAAAGCAUCAACUGUGAUUGGUAGAUGUAAAAUUAGGGGAUGACACAGGAAGUGAUGCAAAAGAAGUUAAAAAGGAGCUGUUACUUCCUGUGAGAUUCAGUUCUUCCUUUUUUAGAACUGAGACUGGAGACAUUCUUCAUUCUUUGAUCUGCUGACUGGACCUUAGAACCUGUUCCUUUGAACUGACACAUGGUUGAGAAACCAAGGAAUGGUUAAAGGUUCUGCCUGCGAGGGACAUCUACAGGGCUUUCAGGGUGAGCCAGAAGCAUUCCUCUUAUGACUUUAUCAAUGGGCACUAGGGCUCCAAACAACUCAUGCUGUGCUGCUUCCCUUGAACAUGAGGUAAAAGGCAAAGGAGACCAACCUGAAGAUGUAAAAAUGGCAUUGACUUUGAAAUUUUCUUCCUGAUAUGAAGAAAGGCAAAUUCAGGAGGGACUCUUAUGAAGAAAACAAACUCCUGGUGUUAGAAAAAUAGAGGAACAGAGGGAGAAGCAAGAGCUGU